UGGGCAUGGGCGAAAGCCUGAUCAGCAAUGCCGCGUGUGUGAAGAAGGCCUUCGGGUUGUAAAGCACUUUUGUCCGGAAAGAAAUCCUUUGGGUUAAUACCUCGGGGGGAUGACGGUACCGGAAGAAUAAGCACCGGCUAACUACGUGCCAGCAGCCGCGGUAAUACGUAGGGUGCAAGCGUUAAUCGGAAUUACUGGGCGUAAAGCGUGCGCAGGCGGUUUUGUAAGACGGAUGUGAAAUCCCCGGGCUUAACCUGGGAACUGCAUUCGUGACUGCAAGGCUAGAGUAUGGCAGAGGGGGGUAGAAUUCCACGUGUAGCAGUGAAAUGCGUAGAGAUGUGGAGGAAUACCGAUGGCGAAGGCAGCCCCCUGGGCCAAUACUGACGCUCAUGCACGAAAGCGUGGGGAGC
rnacentral:rRNA from 1 species